GCUCAGGUCACGUUCUGAGCCUGCUUCUCACUCCUGCCCCCUCCCACCCUCCUGGUUCUGCCAUGGACAAGCUGAAGUCUCUCUGAGACCAGGGGACCCGCAUGGCCCAGCCACCCCACCCCACCAUCUCCCAGGCAUGUGAGAAAAUAUCACAUUCUCUGUGUUUUGGAGAUUUCUUCUAAAUGUAUUUUCCAACUAUCAUUUCAUAGCAAAUCAGCGAGAAAAAAGGGGCUUCCUGGAGCUCCUGCAACCCCAGGCAUUAGUUCCGGUGCAGUUCUAGGAUCAGAUCAAUUCACUCGACAACAAGAGAAACAAAUGGAGAUUCCUACACAAAGACUUUCAAGCACAAAGAAAUCCUGCUGCCUGUAAAGCGGAGCUGCCUCAGCCCUUGAUGAACGACAGAAAAUCUCACAUUCCAGGAAUUCAGAUGAAGUGAAGUGCUCUCAUGGGGACCAGGCAUGGUUAUGCCAGUCCACUGCCCUGCAAGCCUCAAGGGAAGCCAACUGCCCUUCAGCAAGUCACACCUGCCUUGGUGGAGGCCUUGAUUGGAAGUGCCACACGCUACAUGUCCAGUCCUGAGCGGGAGAAUCGGUGUAGGGACGUUCUGGGGAUGCCAGCUGUGGCCAGAUCAGGUCCAACUACAGAAGAAUAAUGAAGACUCCACCUGAGGGCUGGAAAAACAAAACCUCAAGUGUGAGGCAGCCAACCUGUUACCUCGAGGGACUGUUCCGCAGCACAGCGGGGCCAUGGGAACAGCAGCAGACACCCCGACCUCCUCGCUACCU
rnacentral:lncRNA from 1 species